rnacentral:rRNA from 1 species
CCCUUAGUAACGGCGAGCGAAAAGGGAAGAGUCCAGCGCCAAGUCUUGACGCCAAAGCGUUCAAGAGAUGCGGCGUUAAUGUAUUAUCGCAUCGUACAUUGUUACCUGUUUCAAGUUCCCUUGACAGGGACAUCCAUAGCGGGUGCUAGGCCCAUAGAGGCAGGAAACCAGUGUGCGCAGAUAAUGCAUUCUAGAGUCAGGUUGCUUGAGAGUGCAGCUUAAAGUGGGUGGUAAACUCCAUCUAAGGCUAAAUAUGACAGCGAGACCGAUAGCAAACAAGUACCGUGAGGGAAAGUUGCAAAGCACUUUGAAGAGAGAGUUCAACAGUACGUGAAACCACUGGGAGGCAAACAGAUGGAACCACGAAGUUGCGCCUCGCUCGAUUCAAUCAUUGAUACUGGUUACCGGUUCUUGUGUGGAUCUUUUCGGAGAUUAGCAAGUGUCGUGGAACUGGUUUCAAUGGUGCAUUUCGUGUGAGGAUGCUAAGCCACGUUCGAUUAGAGUUGGGACGGCCGUAGGACAGAAUUCGAGGAAGGUGACCGGAAAGUGCUUGCAUUUUUCGGUGUUAUAGCCUUGAAUUGGUACCGUCGCCUAACAAACUGAUCGAUAGAAAUUCUCCUUAGGAGUUAAACUGUGUCUGCCUGUGACCAUUAGUCAACAUUUCGAAGUGUUCUUUACGUAUCUUUGGUGCGGAAAGGCAUUUCAACAAUGUUGGUUAGUGGUUGCUUGCGUGACAUGGUGGAACUGUGGCGCGAGUAGGUCGGUUUCCCUCUGACCC